rnacentral:rRNA from 1 species
ACGGAGGUCCCAAGCGUUGUUCGGAUUCACUGGGCGUAAAGGGUGCGUAGGCGGUCGGGAAAGUUUGAUGUGAAAGCUCCGGGCUCAACCUGGAAAAUGCAUUGAAAACUAUUCGACUAGAGGAUUGUAAGGGAGACUGGAAUUCUCGGUGUAGCAGUGAAAUGCGUAGAUAUCGAGAGGAACACCAGUGGCGAAGGCGAGUCUCUGGACAAAUCCUGACGCUGAGGCACGAAAGCUAGGGGAGCAAACAGG